GAUGAACGCUGGCGGCGUGCCUAAUACAUGCAAGUCGAGCGAAUGGAUUAAGAGCUUGCUCUUAUGAAGUUAGCGGCGGACGGGUGAGUAACACGUGGGUAACCUGCCCAUAAGACUGGGAUAACUCCGGGAAACCGGGGCUAAUACCGGAUAACAUUUUGAACCGCAUGGUUCGAAAUUGAAAGGCGGCUUCGGCUGUCACUUAUGGAUGGACCCGCGUCGCAUUAGCUAGUUGGUGAGGUAACGGCUCACCAAGGCAACGAUGCGUAGCCGACCUGACAGGGUGAUCGGCCACACUGGGACUGAGACACGGCCCAGACUCCUACGGGAGGCCGCAGUAGGGAAUCUUCCGCAAUGGACGAGAGUCUGACGGAGCAACGCCGCGUGAGUGAUGAAGGCUUUCGGGUCGUAAAACUCUGUUGUUAGGGAAGAACAAGUGCUAGUUGAAUAAGCUGGCACCUUGACGGUACCUAACCAGAAAGCCACGGCUAACUACGUGCCAGCCGCCGCCGUAA
rnacentral:rRNA from 1 species